CUAAAUUUAUGUGCCAUCCUUUUGUUCUUAGGUCUGCCUUGAGGGACAGAUUUCUCGUAAUUCUGCAAAGAAAAGUUUAAGCGACGGUCGUCAGCCCUUUGGUGAUCAGAUACCAUGGAAAUUCUGUGAGCAAUUUCAGGACACUGUGUUUCCCAGUCUGUCAGGUGCUCGGAUUGUACGAAUUGCUACACAUCCAAGUGCCAUGAAGAUUGGAUAUGGUUCACAAGCAGUGGAACUAUUGACAAGGUACUAUGAAGGACAGUUUGCUCCUAUUUCUGAAGUGGAUGUUGAAGAUGUUGUUGAGACGGUGCCUGUCAGAGUCACAGAAGCUGCCGAGAAGGUUU